GUGCACGCUGGCGGUCGGCCUAACACAUGCAAGUCGCACGGCAGCACAGUAAGAGCUUGCUCUUACGGGUGGCGAGUGGCGGACGGGUGAGGAAUACAUCGGAAUCUACUUUUUCGUGGGGGAUAACGUAGGGAAACUUACGCUAAUACCGCAUACGACCUACGGGUGAAAGCAGGGGAUCUUCGGACCUUGCGCGAUUGAAUGAGCCGAUGUCGGAUUAGCUAGUUGGCGGGGUAAAGGCCCACCAAGGCGACGAUCCGUAGCUGGUCUGAGAGGAUGAUCAGCCACACUGGAACUGAGACACGGUCCAGACUCCUACGGGAGGCAGCAGUGGGGAAUAUUGGACAAUGGGCGCAAGCCUGAUCCAGCCAUACCGCGUGGGUGAAGAAGGCCUUCGGGUUGUAAAGCCCUUUUGUUGGGAAAGAAAAGCAGCAGGCUAAUACCCCGCUGUUCUGACGGUACCCAAAGAAUAAGCACCGGCUAACUUCGUG
rnacentral:rRNA from 1 species